GUUGGCUCCAUCUCCUUGGGCUGAGUCAUCAUCACAGACUGCCUGAACCUGCUCCUCUCCUGGAGGCCGAUCCAUGGCUAAUCUCUAAACUCAAAGGGUGUUCUCCCACGGCACUCCAGAGUGCACUCCCGGACUCUGCACAAGCUGUUCCCACGGCAAGGGAAACCGGGCCUCAAACCCUGCCCUCCUCCUCCAAGCUGGCUCUCCCACCGGCAGGUCUUCUCCCUGGAGUCUGGUGAGGUUCCCCCCUGGGAUCCUCUGAGAACCUUUACAGAGCUUUUCACAGCACCUGCCACCCUAACUGCCGUGUGCACUGGGGCUAUAGGAGUCUGCUGAAGUAGUGAUCCUUCCACAGGAAGUGCCAGUUUGGCAUUAUCACUGACUGCAGAGAAAGCCAAGCAGUUGUUAGAGUGCAAUGAACUGAAUGCUGCACCUCCCUCAAAGUCAAGUGUGAACUCCUAACCCUCGAUGUAAUGGUACUGGGCGAUGGGGCUUUGGGAGUCGCCAGGGUGGGGCCCUCAUAAAUAGCAUUAGUGCCCUGAUAAGAGCCAGAGAGUGUGCCAGGCCUCUUUCUACCAUGACAGGACGCAACAAGUUGGCAGUCUUUCCAGGAACCAGGAAGACGAUCUUUACCAGAGCCCCACCAC